rnacentral:tRNA from 1 species
GGCUCUGUGGCGCAAUGGAUAGCGCAUUGGACUUCUAGAUAAAAUGUGUAGUCAUUCAAAGGUUGUGGGUUCGAGUCCCACCAGAGUCG